AGUUUAAUUAUCACAAUCAUAGACUCACAGUAGACUGUGCAUGAUUAAUUAGACGCAUUUACAAAAGAACAAACACAACUGACAUAACGCAUUUUUGUUCAAGUAAAAUUUAUUUCAUAAAAAAUACAGAUGAGGGUAAAAUCAAGGUACCAAAAAAAAAAAAAACCCCAACAAAAAUCAAGAUAAAAACACCAAAUGCAUGGGAGGUUAGGCAGUGCCUAACCUCCAUUAAAAUAUCCCACGUUUAUUUAGAUUUAAUUACACUUAUUUUAUCAACUAUCAGACCAGAUGUAGGCCUAAAGCUGCUUUCCAAACUGGGUUAUAGCUACUGAACACUGAGGUCACGUCCUCAGGAUUUUAUUUCCUGGGAAUUAGUUUUUUUUUUAGCAGCCAAGGGGAAGUUUACAUCCUAUAAUUAAAAACCAACACAUUAGAUGCAUUUUAUUUGCUGAUUCCAGUACUUUUCGACUAUAUUUAAAUUAUAUAUUCAAAUUAAAUAUUUAAAUUUGAGUACGUUCAGACAAACAAAAAUAAGUACAUAAAAAAACAAUUCGGUGUUUUUCUGCCACACAUUUAUUCCUGGCAGUGUAGAGAGGGCCUUGACACAGCUUUUGGACCUUCAUGCUGGGAUAAUAAUGUUCUCUGAAUAAAUAAAAUGUUAAAAAUCAAAAUCAAGAAAAUAUUUUUGUUAGAAACUUUAUUUUGGUCUAAGUUCCUGUUAAAUAUGCCAAUUGUAGGCUCUGGUAUAUCGCGUUCGGCGUCAUAUUUCACAUAUUUUCACAUAAGUAGGGCUGCAACUAAUGAUCAUUUUCUUAUACUGAUUAAUCUGCAGAUAAUUUUCUCUGUUAAUUAAUUUAUCAUUUAGGCCACAGAAUAUCAGAAAAUGCUCCUCUCAAUUUCCCAAAGCCCAGAUAGACAUAUUAAAAUGUCUUGUUUUGUUCGGCCAACAGCCCAAAACCCAAAGAUGUUCAGUUUAAUAUCAUAGAAGAUUAAGAAAACUAGCAAAUAUUCACAUUUUUUGCUUAAAAAAUACAUUACAAUUAAUUGGUUAUCAAAAUAGUUACUGACUAAUUUUGUGUCAAUCUACCAUUUCAUUAAUCGACUAAUUGUUUCAGCUUUUUUGACAUAUGAACAAGUGGCAAACAUUGAUGCUGCCUAAGGACCCAGUCAGUUCAAUAAAAUAAUAAUUUAAUUAAUACAUAUAUAUAGCCUACAGACUGUGCAUGAAAAGGGGAAAAAUAUCUGCUGCAGUAAACAAGACCAGAAGCAGACAGCUCAACAAGUCAACAAAACUUUAUUUUAUUUUUCGAGUGACUCAUCAUCUCAAUAGACGAUCUUAGAUGAGGACCAGCGUAGCUGCCGGCCGGGGCUGUCGCCGCUGCCUCCAGUCGCCCCGCUCGCUCCCGGUUGGCGCGUCACGGCGUUGCUGUGGAGACCCGUUUACCGCCGCGGGUGACGAGAGGCGCCGUGUUUACCUGUAAACUGCGACAGCGAGGCAGCCAGGGAGCCGCCAUCCGUCAUUUAUACUCGGGGAAGUAAGGAUAGGCCAAUCAACAGGUGUUUUGUCCCACAGGAAUGGAUGGUGGCCGGGCCCUUCAGCACUCACAUCAGCUCUGAGGAGGCAGCAGAAAGAGAGAGAGAGGGGAGUUGAAAGAAAGGAGCAGUAAUUACUCAAGAGGCUGAACUGGAGAGCAGCGAGCGCGCUGAGCUGAAGAGCGGAUGGGAGGAAAUGAAGUGGAGAGAAUAAGUGUGUGGAUCGAAAGUAGCCCUUUUCUCCUUUCUUUCUAUCCAAUCAGUCAUCCCACUGUUUUCUCCAUCCAUCCAUCCAUCCAUCCAUCCAUCCAUCCAUCCCUCUCCGUCCCCUCCUCUGCUCUGCUCAUUUACUUUGAGUGGCAGUGUGUGGGAAGUGAAGGCCAGCAGGGUCUUAGCUUUUCCUCUCUCUGCUCUGCUGCUGACCUUUUGCUCCACCUGAGGAAACGUCAAGACAAACACCUCCAGAGAGUGAAGUGUGAACAGUCCUGUUGCGUUUGAUCUACUCAGCAUGACAACAUCAGCAAGUAUGACAUGUUUGUGAAAUCAAAACGCACCAAAAGAAGAACGAAUACUCUUGAAGAUUUUGCUCUGCUAGGGUAAAACUUGAUUUACGGUCAUUCUCACAUUGUACACUCUGCUUCGCAACUGCAAAACUAAAAGCAAGAAAACACCAAGUUUACUGGAAAAAAGUCUAGUGAAUAAUAACAUAAUGCAAAUUAAACUGUCUCUCAUUUUGUAAUUUUAGUCUUCAGCAACCGCAGACACGUGUAGCUGUGUAGGUGGGGAGAUGCCACUGUAAGGCAAAUAACGUGAAUCAAAAGACAACUUCCCACCAAACCUUCAUUAAAAAACAGUAGUUUUUAACCAGAUAAAAGUGUUAGUCCUUUAAUGUGCUGGUGAACACUUUGAAUCCCUGAGAAUCAGAUGUACAUCCUCUUUACAUGCUCAUCGUACUUUGCUUUGUUGCUAAAAACUUCUGACUCUUUACAAAAUGUAUUUAAGAGACAGGAUAAAGUGACCAAUCAUCGAACGCUUCACUAAAACUAAAACAGCUCAAACUUUAGACUGGUAUCAUUGGACUCCCUGCAAAACCUGAUUCAGUACUUUGUAUAAUAGGAGGUCUGCCUAAUCAACAACAUACCAAGUGGCUGCUCAUAGCUUUUGUUGUUGCCAAAAAGUCGUUUUUUUUGCAUUAGUGCAUUCAAUUCAAGACUGGUUUAAAAUGGUUAAACUUGAAAGAGUCAUUUACUUUGAUAUCUAUUAAUACAGGCUCCCUGGAUAAUUCUAUUGCAAUAUGGUCCCCCUUCUUAGCAAACGAAAGGGGAAAACGUGUCUGUCUUAUGCAAAUAUUUUGUUUUUGUGUAUGCAUUUGUUAAGUUUUCUGACUCAGACUAAAACGAUCAUUAGAUAUGGGUCACUGUUUACUGUUAGCUUUUUGUUUGUAAAAAAGACAUUUAAAAAAAAUGUUGCAGAAAGCACUCCUGGCAAGACGGUUCGAUUCCAAAAUACAACAACAAAACACAGAUUUGGGAAAAAUGUCGCCCUAAAUACAACCUUAUGUUUCACAGCAAGACUUCAUCCUCAAAAGUGUGAUGAGUCUGGUUGAAAUAUUGCGCUAAAUAACUUUCAUCGAAUUUUUAAGCCAAUUUCUUCACCCACAACACAACAACUUUAAGCAGAGCUGUGUCUGACUGGCUUGACACUGUGUUGAGAAGCCAGCAGUGAAAAGCUGUAGUGGAAAUAAUAGUUUGUUGAUGAAACAGGAGGGACGCAGAGCGAGUGUCUGCAGUGACGGUGGCCUGGUUGGGGGAUGCAGACACCGGCUGCAUGUGAAAGCAAUGGCAACAAAAGCUCAGCAGGAGAUCUGACGGCUACAUAUGUGUGAAUCGGUGGGGUGAUUGGGACUAACUGAUCACCAGAGUCACUAUCACUUCAUUACUAAGGUGGUAAUGACCCUCAUCAUUAAACAGGAGCAAUCCAAUCAAUCACCACUGAUUGGUAAAUGAUGAAGAAAUACAAGAAUUGCAUGAUUAAUAAAUGAUGAUAUUUAAAAACGUCUGAUCAGUGGGAAUUUGGUGAUAAUGCUGUUGCACACUAGAAAUCAUUGGGUCAUUUACCCAGUGUGGGUCAAUAUAGCACUGACACAGUACUGGGCUAACUUCACCCAAUAUCAAUGGGUUGUUUUGACCCAGGUAAUUUUUUUUUUAACCUUGUUAGGGUAUUUACACAAACUAAGGUUUUUUUUACCCAUUUUAGACACUGGAGCUCAAGUUUCACCAUAAAACUUUAAAAAAUGCAUUGUUGGUUACAAAAUUCUGCGUAUAUGACAUUCAAAACUGCAAAGGAGACAUAUUAUUUACAAUCAGUAACAAAUAGCGACAUGUAAGUUUUAAAAGAGCUAGAGUAGAUUGUAACAUUUCACAACCAUACCAUAUUUUAGUUUGGGUAAAUAACCUAACAGUAAUAUAAAAAGAAUAACGCUAACUAAAAGUAGAGUUGUUGGGAUUGUUUUGAUACAGUGAUUUGUACUGUGUGGGGGGAAAAACAUUGAAAUGUACCUUUAUAUUGUGAAUAAAGCAUGAAAUUCAAAUCCUGCUGCAUAAUUGUAAAAUAAAUGGCUUACAAUG